rnacentral:rRNA from 1 species
ACGAAGGGGGCUAGCGUUGCUCGGAAUGACUGGGCGUAAAGGGCGCGUAGGCGGCUGAGACAGUCAGAUGUGAAAUUCCUGGGCUUAGCCUGGGGGCUGCAUUUGAUACGUCUCGGCUUGAGUUCGGAAGAGGGUCGUGGAAUUCCCAGUGUAGAGGUGAAAUUCGUAGAUAUUGGGAAGAACACCGGUGGCGAAGGCGGCGACCUGGUCCGAUACUGACGCUGAGGCGCGAAAGCGUGGGGAGCAAACAGGAUUAGAUACCCUGGUAGUCCACGCCGUAAACGAUGUGUGCUGGAUGUUGGGCAGCCUAGCUGCUCAGUGUCGUAGCUAACGCGAUAAGCACACCGCCUGGGGAGUACGGCCGCAAGGUUG